rnacentral:rRNA from 1 species
CCUACGGGAGGCAGCAGUCGGGAAUAUUGCGCAAUGGAGGAAACUCUGACGCAGUGACGCCGCGUGCAGGAAGAAGGUUUUCGGAUUGUAAACUGCUUUAGACAGGGAAGAACAAAGACAGUACCUGUAGAAUAAGCUCCGGCUAACUACGUGCCAGCAGCCGCGGUAAUA